rnacentral:rRNA from 1 species
UACGUAGGGGGCGAGCGUUGUCCGGAUUUCUUGGGCGUAAAGCGCGGGCAGGCGGCCCGGUAAGUCGGCCGUGAAAGCGCCGGGCUCAACUCGGCGAGGACGGGCGAGACUGCAGGGCUCGAGCAAGGCAGAGGGCGGUGGAAUUCCGGGUGUAGUGGUGGAAUGCGCAGAUAUCAGGAGGAACACCAAUAGCGAAGGCAGCUCGCUGGGACGGUACUGACGCUAAGGCGCGAAAGCGUGGGGAGCGAACAGG